CUCCUCUGUAAUUUCCAGGUUCUCUUCCAUAAAUGUCAUUCUUACAAUCCGAAAAAAAGUAUAAAAUUACUCAUGUCUUUCUGAUGGAAGUUAAUUUGUCCUGGAGGUAUCUUUUGAGGUAGGUAGGAAAUAGGUACAAUUUUUCUCAUUUAAAGUAGAUUCCUGAGACAUCAUAAAGAGCCCUGCUUCAAAUCACAUAAUUCAUGACAGAGAACUGGAAUCUGAAAGAGAAACCAACCUCUUGGACUUGGUCCUGGCCUCACUUAAUAAACCUGGUGAGAAAAGCACAGGGCUGGUAUCUUCUCAGAGCCUCUACAUGGCUGGUUCAGAGGAACUUCCUUCCUCCCUGCACUGACAGCCCCUGGAGGAGACCCAGACAGAGAGUGAGCUGAGUCUCCCCUUCCCAGGAGUGGCUAGCAAUCGAGAAAGCUGCAGAGAAGCCUAUGCUGUGACAUCCGGCUCUUAGACCCUCAGCAUUCCUCCCAGGAUGCCCAACCCUCUCUCCUGCUGUCUGAGGAGCUGGAAGCAGCCUCCUGGAUCCUCUGGGAGAACAAGGCAGCACGCGGCCAGGGAUGGACAAGACCAACAUUACUGCCGUAAUUCUAAAUGCCUGCAGCUUAAGAAAUCCACCACCGGAUUGAGGUAACCGGAUACAAAACGACUUGCACUGUUUAGAAAGUAACGUUUCUGCACCGUGCACGGGCUGUGCGCGCCUGUAUUUAGAAGUCAGCGCAGGACCUCAGCUGACGCUUCCACACCUGCCAGGAGUUGCUGAUGUGAACCAGGUGGCCUGCUUCAAGCCGAAUUCAAUUACCCAGAUGGCAACUGUUUCCUAAUUCAAAGCUUUAACAUUGGCCUUAUUAUUUUUUUUUUCCAUUAUGAAAAAUGAGAGGGGGCAGAAAAUACAUAGAGUCUGAGCAUUUCUGGUUUAUGAGAUUAGAGGCAAGAUAGGGAAACGGGUCCCUGGCCUCCCCCAGCUCCCUGCAGCUCCGGCCUGCAGCGCAGUGCCUGGAUGACUGGUUGCUUGUUCCAUGAACAGCAGUGACCGCCCUACUCCUGGGCCCCUCCUUGGGAAACUGUAAGAAUUCUCCCUUGCUCAUUAGCGAUUGCAUUUGCAGAUGGUAUCUCUCUCUUUUUGUGCUGUGUUUUGUUUUGUUAUUUAAGGAGAAGAGAAAAAUAAGAAGAGGACAUUGCAUUUGGAGACCAUGCCUUCUUUUUCCUAAGGAGGCUCUGCCGUGUCAGUCCUCCCGGUUCAGAACGUGGCUACUCAAGCGUCUUAUUCUCACGGUGAACAUGUCCCAGUGGGCUGCUGGUGCCGUGCGUUAGCAGUGGGUUCACUUCCCCGGUCCUCACCUGUGGCUUGGGGAGAACCAGUUCAGACAAGUGGAGAGCCCAGCGGCCCCCACCCACCCCGCUCCUGCCCUCUGCACUCUGGUUACUGCCGCAGGCUGGCAGAAUAUCGGCAGACGGGCCCACGGUUGGGUAAAGGAGGUUGGUGGGGGGAGAGAAAAGCCAGCGUCAAGUAGAUUCUGUGCUCACACCCUUCUCCUCUAGAAGAAUUUUCGUGGACGCCUUCCUCCUUCUUUCGGUCUUCUUUCUCUCAGACUGAGUAGGAGUUUGAAAUCGGGACAAUUCCUCACGAGUUUUGGACAGUUACCGUGUGGCCGGGCGACGUUCCAAUCAUUCAGGUGUAUCAUGUCAGUUGAUGGUUGUGGCGGCCUGGUGAUGGAGUUACUGAUAAAAAGGUUCAGGAGUUUCGUGGGAAUAAGGAAAAUGCUGUUGCUCGGGAGACGUAUUUGACUGGGGUCCUGUCUUUUGAUCAGCCGUCUCGAGUCUACUGCCUCUACCGUCAUUGCCGAGUCCCCCCACCUGCCCCUUCCCCGCCUCCCCCUCCGCUCCCCCCACCAUCUCUCCUAUCACCCUCCACCGCCAUGCCUCCCACCAGACGCUAAAUGUCAAAUGGAUGGGGAUGUCCGCAAAUAAAAAACAAAACCAAGAGUUGAGAUUUGUUUAUACACAAACAUCUUCUGCUUGAGCUAGCUGGACAACUGAAGCUAACGUUUGCAUUAUUUUGGCCUUUUACGCUGUCUUCCUUACCCUCUCUUGUCCCAGUCUUUACAUGGGGAAUUGGGAGCCAGGUGGCUUAACUUUCCUUUAGUCUGGGGAAUUGCCUCAAGAGCUGGUCUAUGUGAGCCGUGGAAACCGACCAAGUCCUGGGGUGCCUGGGUGGCUCAGUCGGUUGGGCGGCCGACUUCGGCUCAGGUCAUGAUCUCACGGUCUGUGAGUUCGAGCCCCGCAUCGGGCUC